rnacentral:ncRNA from 2 species
CUUACAUAUCGUGGCGAUUUGUUACCGGAUUGCGGGCCACGUAAAACAAUCCCGCUAAAGAGGUCAGGAUGUGAAGGAC